GACGAACGCUGGCGGCGUGCUUAACACAUGCAAGUCGAGCGAUGAAGCUCCUUCGGGAGUGGAUUAGCGGCGGACGGGUGAGUAACACGUGGGUAACCUGCCUCAUAGAGGGGAAUAGCCUUUCGAAAGGAAGAUUAAUACCGCAUAAGAUUGUAGCUUCGCAUGAAGCAGCAAUUAAAGGAGUAAUCCGCUAUGAGAUGGACCCGCGUCGCAUUAGCUAGUUGGUGAGGUAACGGCUCACCAAGGCGACGAUGCGUAGCCGACCUGAGAGGGUGAGCGGCCACAGUGGGACGGAGACACGGCCCAGACUCCUACGGGAGGCAGCAGUGGGGAAUAUUGCACAAUGGGGGAAACCCUGAUGCAGCAACGCCGCGUGAGUGAUGACGGUCUUCGGAUUGUAAAGCUCUGUCUUCAGGGACGAUAAUGACGGUACCUGAGGAGGAAGCCACGGCUAACUACGUGCCAGCCGCCGCCGUAA
rnacentral:rRNA from 1 species